rnacentral:lncRNA from 1 species
AUUCUCAUGCCUCAGCCUCCAGAGUAGCUGGGAUUACAGGCACACGCCACCAUGCCCAGCUAAUUUUUGUAUUUUUUGGUAGAGACGGGGUUUCACCAUGUUGGCCAGGCUGGUCUCCAACUCCUGGAUCAAGUGAUCCACCCACCUUGGCCUCCCAAAGGGCUGGGAUUACAGGCGUGAGCCACCACGCCCGGCCAGGCUGAGUUUUUCUCCAGCGGUUCAUCGAGUCCUCUGACAAAGCAAGGAGCCGAUAUAGGGCCAGUGGGACGGUCGCCAGUCAAGGGGCUGGGCUUGGUGGAAAGAUUAAUACUCACUGGACGUCCAGUCGAAACGCCCUGAAACCUAUGAUGCUGUCGACCAAACGAAGGCCUGGAAUACCAAAAUAGCCACAUAGGUACUUGCUGGACUUGAAACAGAUGGAAGGUGAGCUCUGCCUAGGACACGCCCAGCCUCAGCUGGAGGAGAAGCUGCCUCUUUCUCAGCCUGAGCCCCCUGCUGGCUCUGUAGGACUCAGGUCACUCCUUUUUGGCCCCUCCCCUGUUCUCCCCCGGCCUCCUGGGGUGCAGAGCCACCCUGAGAUGGGGUCCUGCCCUCUCCCGCCAUCUUUUCACCCCCUCUCUAGCCCUGGUCUAGGUGAGCUCCUGCCUGGUCCUGCCUCCUGGGUAAUGUAUCAGCCUCGCCCACUGUCUGCGGCUGCCUCUCUGGGCCCCUGGGACAGACCCCACUGUGUCCAGUUCAGGGCUGACCCUGCAGGAAUGAACUGGGGUCUGGUCUUGUGAUUCCAGAAAGCCAGGCUGCUGACGUCCCCAUCCACCAGCCCAGCCUGUGUCUUGCAGCCAUUGUAUUAGUCACAGGCUCGUGCCCUAUAGUCAGACCUCAUGCUUUCUUUUGGAGUUCGGGGUGUUGGUUGGAAAUAGUGGGGGCUAUAGGAGGAAGGAGGAUGGUUACACGGAAGGGCAUGAGAAGCUGGGGACCUGCAGGUCUCAGUCCCACAUUCUUUUUUUUUUUUUUAAGAUGGAGUCUCGCUCUGUCACCAGGCUGGAGUGCAGUGGCACAAUCUCAGCUCACUGCAACCUCGACCUCCUGGGUUCAAGCGAUUCUCCUGGCUCAGCCCCCCGAGUUGCUGGAACCACAGGCGUGUGCCACCAUGCCCAGCUAAUUU